rnacentral:rRNA from 1 species
AUGCAGUCGUACGUGAAAGCCUUCGGGUGAGUAGAGUGGCGGACGGGUGAGUAACGCGUAGGAAUCUACCUAUUAGUGGGGGACAACAUGGUGAAAACCAUGCUAAUACCGCAUGUGCACUACGGUGUAAAGAGGGCUUCGGCUCUUGCUAGUAGAUGAGCCUGCGUCGGAUUAGCUUGUUGGUGGGGUAAUGGCCUACCAAGGCGACGAUCCGUAGCUGGUCUGAGAGGAUGAUCAGCCACACUGGGACUGAGACACGGCCCAG